GUGUCUGGAUAGAUUUUUCAUACCAGAAAUGCCUUCGAGCAUACAUUCGAGAGAAGUAUCCAUCGUGUUCAGAGAAAUUCAUCCGAGGAUGUUUCAAAGGUACUUGAAGGUUUCAGCUCUUGGAUUGAGAAAUCGCAAUGAUCUAUUGGCACAGCAAGAUAAUGCAAUGUAGAGUUUUUAAUAGUAGCGAUUCAAGCAUGAAUGAGUCGAGCUCUAGAAUUCUUAGUGUAGGAAACUUGGUGUUUAUAGUGGAAAUUACGAGUCUUCUGCUGCGUAUGAUAUUUAGUUUGUGAAUGUGACCAAUGUGAAGUUUUUAAUAUAGUAGAAAUUCAAGUAUGAAUGAGUCAAGCCCUAGAAUUACUAGUGUAGAGAACUUUUGUGUUUAAAGUGGAAAUUAUGAAUCAUCUACCGUGUAUGAUAAUUUAGUUUGUAGA